rnacentral:lncRNA from 1 species
CCAUGCCGCGUCGAUAUGCCGGCGCCGGCUUUUCAUAAACAAAUCACAAUUCACCCUGAGCUGUAUAGAGAUAGACAUUUUUAACAUCAUGGAUGAAGUUUUCAAUAGCAUGAAUGGCUGUAACUGCAUAAUCUGCUACAGCUAAGGGCUUAUUUUUAUCCCUCCCUCCGCGGAACGCAACAGAUCAGGUUAAGUAUCUGCGGUUCUGCUUGAUGCUAAGGCUGAGAUUGUGAAAAUCAUCUCUGAGGAGCAAUCCAAGCAUUCUGUUGGCAUGCAUGAAAAUAGGGUGGAAUCGCGAAAAUAGAUAGCAUUGUGAAAGCAGUGAGGCUUAUCAUGAUCCUCUGUGACAUGGAUGAAAAAGAAACCUCCCAUUAGUCCUGAGCAGAUUUUAAUCUAACACUACAGCAAGUUAAGUAUUGAAGCUUUAAAAGCAAGCCCAAUGAGACAUCAAAAUGCUAGAUAUUGUAUGGAAUAUGCUAAGAAUAGGCCUAUGUCUUGAUUUGUCCUGUCCACCGACGUACUUAGGUUCAAUAUUGUAUUAUUGGUUGAGGGGAAUCCAGCCAACACUGAACUGUCCUUAUAGUGUAGUAGAAUGUAAGCUCUGAAUUACUGAAAAGCCCUGUAACAAAAUAUUUUUUCUUAUUUCCAGAAUGAUGCCUAAAAGGAAGAAUUUUUACAGACCACAAACCCACAAAAAAGGGUAAAUUCUGCAUCACUCCUGGUUUGAAGGGGUUCAUCUGUACUUGCAACAUUAUGAAUGAGAAGGAGUGUGUCCGAGAAUCUUACAAUAUCAUGAAUGAGUUCUCUGCCAAAUUAUUCCCUGAAAUGAAGGAACCAGAAACUGCUGAAAAUGUUGAAGCUUCAGAAGUAGAAGAUGAGCUAGCAAAAGAAAUCGAAGAGCUUAAAUCAUCGGAUGAUAAAACAGAGCAAGAGCAAAGAAAAUUCAGUGUUGUUAAUACAGAUAUUAAGGGUGUGGUAUUUAUUAAGACAACCGUAAGUAUCUACUAUUAUUUUCGUAUCGUGAGGUCGAAGGGCCUGAAUCUGAAAUCUUAUAACGUGUAGAAAAAAUAUAUCGUCCUAAGUAAAGUUUAAUAUUGGUUCUUGUUUCAAAGCUAUGUUUUAAAAUUUUCUAUUUUUUAAAACAACAAACGUUGCUUUUGGAAUUUGAAAAUGACUGUUUUCAACCUUUCUGCAUAUCAUCAAAUAUGAGGGAGUUUUACCAAAUUUGUCAGGAAAAUAAGGAAA